GGGUUCAGCUCCGAUCAUGAACUGGGUAACACUUUUCUCGAACUCCAGAGGAAAAGGGUGAGAGCUUCAGUAGCUUUUCGAAGAAGUUUCGAAGGGCGUUGGAAGGUUGCGAAGGGGCGAAGCGGUAGCUUCCUCCGGAAGACAUCUUCAGGGUAGCGGGUUAUCAACAAUAGGGAUGAUCCGACCCAUUACGUCGAGGGAGGAACGGCCCAGGCCCUUGCGGCAUUAAGGCCCACUAAAGCCCACUUCUGAAUGGCAACUUAAUAACUUUUUAGUACCCGUAAUUUCUAUUAUUUUCAUUUCAGUCCCUCUCUUAACUGUCUAUAAAUACCUCCCAUGUAACUGAAUCAGUUGAACAAUUUGGAUUUCAAAUAAAAUUCCAUUUCCCUUUGAUCCUCCCUCUUCUUCUCCUCAAGUAAACUCUCUCUCUCUCUCUCUCUCUCUCUCUUUUCCCUUUCCACUACCAAUCUCUUCCUCGGAUCCUCCUCGUUGAGCUUGGAACCCAUCAAUGGCGUGGGUAGAGAUGAAGCUAAGGUCGAUUGAGCACUGAUCAUCAUCGCAGCUAUCCUAGUCUCAGCAACAUCUCAUCCUCGACGGUUGCUGCUCUGAUCAGAUCCGAUUUGUGGCUCUCGAUCUUAGGAUUCAUCAUUUGAGCUCAAUUCACCGGGGGAGUUCAGAUCAUGGCCACAACUAUUCCAAUUUAAUCAGAUCUAGAGUUCCGAGCAUUACAAGUGGUAUCAGAGCAGUUCCGAACCCAGGGACAUGCACAGAAGCUUCAUCGAACCAUCAUGAGGUACCUCUUAUGAAUAACUCCCUAUGUUGAGGUUUCAGUAGCUUACUGAGGGAUUUUAGAGAUAUCUCUGUUUUUUUUGAAUGAUCGUUCCAACUAUUCAUACAUAAUUAGUUGUUUGAGUUUCCAAAAAAAAUUCUGUGAAUUACAUCGGAGCAUUUCCCUAUUAGCAAGUCCUUGUGUGAUUGAGAUAGUAGUCAAUCAAGAUUGGGAAACAGCAAAAUCGAUUCCGAUUCAUACCCAUAAGUAAGGAAAUGGCGGAGGGAACCCAUCUUAGGGAUUUGAGUGAACAUUUGUCAACAUUGGAAGGGAAGAUGCAGAAACUCACAACAGAUUACCAAAGUAAAGUUAAAGAUCUAGCUGAUCAGAUCGCUAAGAACAGGGAAUUGGAACAAAAGCAUUAUGAAGCAAUGCAAGAGGAUGCCUUACAGAGGCAUGAAUUGGUUCUCAAAGAUAAUAACACCCGGCAUGAGGAACUGUUGAGAUUGCUAGCCACUCAAGGUCCUUCAGUUAGAGCCAUGCCCUCUUAUCUAGAUGCUGCUAUGGAACAUCAAACCCAUAACACAAGGCCUAAGGGCAGCGGAUCGCCUGGAGGUUACGGAGAUAACAAGGGCAAAGGGAUAUUACCUAAUCCAGGAAUGGAACCUGAGAGUGAAGGAGAUAUAAAAGGCUACAGGUGGAAUAUGAAAGGGGCAUUUCACUCUCACCACCCCACUCCCAAACUGGAUUUCCCGAUCUUCAAUGGAGAUGACCCAAAGGCUUGGAUCGAAAACUGUGAGCAAUACUUUGAUAUAUAUCAGAUCCCGCCACAACAAUGGUUGGGAAUAGCGACCAUGCACCUAAAUGGGAGAGCCAGGGUCUGGAAACAAAGCUACGUCGUCAACCGGCACAGGGUCACUUGGAAUGAAUUCACGGAUGCAGCAUGUAGGAGAUUCACCCUGACGGGGGAAAGAUACUUAGUAAGGGAGUUUACCAGCCUUAAGUAGUAUGGGUCAGUAGAGAAAUAUCAAGAGAAGUUUGGGGAGUUGAGGACCCAGCUACUUUGUUACAAUCCCUUAUUGACCGAAGAGCAUCUUAUAGCUUGUUACAUUAAUGGUCUUAAGGAGGAGUUAAUCCCAUUCAUGGAUAUAGCUCAUCCUAAUUCAUUAGAGGAAGCUUACGAGUAGGCUAAGUUGCACGAGAGAGCUCUAGCGGUCAUGAAUAAAAAAGUAAAAGGGAGUUAUCGAAUAGCUAAUCAGGGCCAGAACUACUACAAUUCCAGUCCCUCGUCGAGCAAUAACAAGUCACAACAGAAAGGUAGUUCCGACCAAUCUGUGAGUAAUAAACAACUAAUUGAACAAAGGAGGGCUGCAGGUCAAUGUUUUAAAUGUGGAGAGAGCUAUCGUCCAGGGCAUAUAUGUGCGGAAAAGUCUCUCAAUACCCUUCAGGGCACUGAUGAGGUACUUGAAGUCUUUGAUGAAAACAGUCUCCAAGAGGAACAUUGAGAAUUGGAGGAAGUAAGUUCGGAAAAAGAGGCAGUCCUGGAUCAGCAGGAAAUGGGGGUGUCAGUGUUGGCUCUGAGUGGGGAGCAACAGCAUGACACUAUUAAGGUGCAAGGGGAAGUUAAGGGACGCAUCAUUACUAUUCUAAUUGACACAGGAAGCACUCAUAGCUUCUUAGAUUUUCAUACUGCAAAAGAGAUUAAGGCCUCUAUGGUGUUAGCUGCUCCCUUAACCGUCACUGUGGCUAAUGGUCAGAAGAUGCUUAGCAAAUUACAGAGCCCUGGCUUUACAUGGACUAUGCAAGGUCAUGAAUUCAAAGCAAAUUUGAAAAUCAUCAGAUUGGAAGGGUUUAGUGUUGUCUUGGGCAUCGACUGGUUAAGGUCUUAUGGGAAAGUUAUUUUUGACUUCCAACAAAGUUCGAUCACUAUUACUAAAGAAGGGCAACCUUUGGUAUUAAGAGGAAUUAAUGAAGAGGCCAAACUGAGAGUAGUCACUGCUGAGCAAUGGUACCAGGACUCUCAAGGAGGAGAAUUGUGUGCUUUGAGCUAUUGUGGUAUGGUAAACUCCACUACAGAGACAUUAGAUUUACCUCCUGAGCUAUCACAAGUGUUGGAACAGUAUUCCGUUAUAUUUGAGGAACCGAAGGAGUUGCCCCCACAAAGAUCACAUGAUCAUAGGAUACCAUUGCAGCCAGGGGCUAUUCCCGUUAAUAUCAGACCCUAUAGGCACGGUUAUGAGCAGAAGGGAGAGAUCGAAAGACAGAUUAAAGAAAUGUUGGGAACUUCAAUCAUCCAAUCGAGCAAUACACUUUUUGCGUCGCCGGUGUUGCUAGUUAGGAAGAAAGAUGGGACUUGGCGGAUGUGCGUCGACUAUCGACAAUUGAACAGGAUUACUAUUAAGGACAAAUUCUCUAUACCCAUUAUUGAUGAUCUGCUAGAUGAACUGGGUAGUUCCAAAUUGUUUUCCAAGUUGGACUUGAGGUCCGGAUAUCAUCAGAUCCGAGUUUGUCGAGAGGAUAUACCGAAAACCGCUUUCCGUACGCACCACGGGCACUUUGAGUUCAAGGUUAUGCCUUUCGGCCUCACCAAUGCCCCCGCCACGUUCCAAGCCCUCAUGAAUACAGUAUUUGCCCCAUGCUUGCGGAAGUUCGUGUUGGUAUUUUUGAUGAUAUACUUAUAUACAGUAAGAACUUGCAAGAUCAUGUAAGGCAUUUAACCUUGGUGCUGGAGGAGCUGAGGAAGAAUCAAUUGUUUGCUAAGAGAAGUAAAUGCACCUUUGGUCAACGACAGGUGGAGUACUUAGGGCAUAUCAUAACAGAGGAAGGUGUGGCUACUGACCCACCUAAAAUAAAGGCAAUGACACAGUGGCCGGCACCCCGUUCAGCCAAAGAACUGAGGGGGUUUUUGGGCCUAACUGGGUAUUAUAGGAAAUUUAUUAAGCACUACGAUACUAUCAGUAGGCCGUUUACUGAAUUGUUAAAAAGGGAUCAUUUCCAAUGGACAAAGGAAGCCCAGCAGGCUUUCGUGGCUCUCAAGAAGGCCAUGAGCACAGCACCUGUAUUGGCUAUGCCAGAUUUUAAUGAGGCUUUCGUUUUGGAGACAGAUGCUAGUGGAAUGGGUAUCGGGGCUGUUCUAUCUCAAGAUGGGAAGCCUAUAGCUUACUUAAGCAAGGCUAUCCAAGGAAAAAAUCUGGGGUUAUCGACAUAUGAAAAAGAAUUCUUAGCGAUUUUGAUGGCCACUCAAAAAUGGAGGCACUACCUACCAAAAAGUUUUGUUAUUAGAACGGAUCACGAAAGCCUUAAGCAUCUCCUAGAGCAGAAAAUCAUCACUCCUAUGCAGCAAAAAGGGAUGUGGCAACUCAUGGGAUUUAAUUACACGAUUGCUUAUAAGAAAGGGAAGGAAAAUGUGGCAGCAGAUGCCCUAUCAAGAAGGGAGGUAGAGUCUGGUACAUCCUUAGCUAUCACGGCUAUUGUUCCAGCAUGGAUUUCAGAAAUAGAGGACAGCUACAAAGGAGAUGCCAGUUGUGAGCAACUCAUCAAGGAGGUAAUCCUACAACCUGAAUCUCAUAAAGGUUACUCCUACAAUUCAGGGGUCUUGAGUUAUAAAAGAAAAAUUUAUGUAAGAAAAAGUGGGAAUUUAAGGAGCCAGUUGAUGAAACUGUUCCACGACUCUGCGGAAGGAGGUCAUUCUGAAGUAUUACACACUUAUCGGAGGGUUAAAGGGCAUUUCUAUUGGAAGGGCCUGAAGAAACAAAUCGAGGAGAUGCUUCACCAGUGUGAUACUUGUGCGCAGAACAAAAGUGAUAAUCAGUCACCCCAAGGUCUCCUCCAGCCUUUCCCUAUUCCAAAUCAAAUCUGGGAAGAUAUUAGUAUGGAUUUUAUUGAAUCAUUACCCAGAUCAGAGGGAAAAGAUACUACCCUUGUUGUGGUUGAUAGGUUCACUAAGUACGCUCAUUUUUUGGCCCUGAGACACCCAUUCUCUGCUGCUGACAUAGCAAGGGUCUUCAUGGACACUAUACAUAAAUUACAUGGAUGUCCUAAGAGCAUUGUCACCGAUAGGGAUAAGAUCUUCACUAGUUCUUUUUGGCAAGAAUUGUUCAAGUUAUUGGGAACACAGUUAAAGAUGAGUACAUCAUACCAUCCUGAGACUGAUGGACAAACGGAGCAAGUUAACCGAUGCCUGGAAAGUUAUUUAAGAUGCAUGUGUUCACAGUAUCCCAAUAAAUGGUAUAGAUACUUGUCCUUAGCAGAAUUAUGGUACAAUACUAACUACCACACUUCGCUUGGCACUACACAGUAUAAGACCCUCUACGGGGUGGAGCCCCCUAACCCCUUGGUGGCAGCUGUUGGAACAGCUACUAUCCAAGAGGUUAGAGAAUGGGCGGAAGAGAGAGUAGCCUUGAACAGGGAGUUAAAAGAUCGGUUACAGGUGGCCCAGAAUCAUAUGAAGCAACAGGCGGAUAAGCAUCGGAGGGAGAAGGAAUACUCAGUAGGUGAUUGGGUUUAACUAAAGCUACAGCCAUACAGGCAAAUCUCAGUAGCGGCCAGAAGGAACCUAAGCUAUCUGUCAGGUACUAUGGGCCUUUUGAAGUAAUUGGAAGGGUGGGACAAGUAGCAUAUCGACUGAAGUUACCUGAGCAAUCCCAAAUCCAUCCCGUUUUCCAUGUCUCAUUGUUGAAGCCUUGCCCAGCAAGACAAGAUCUGGUGUCACCUGCUCUACUGUAAGAUAUCGAAUUUCGACGAUAUUAGCUAACCUUGGCCAAAUGGGCUAAAGUGGGCGAUUAAAUGAAUUGGACAAGUUCCAUUCGGUGUUUCGACAUGUUUGGAAGAGUAAUAAUGAGUUCCAUAAGUGUUGGAAUAGUUUUAACGUUGUCGGACGCGAAAAGAAAUCGAAACAGAUCGAAAAACAGCAUUCUGGAGCUGCUGUACCGGUACAAGGGUGAUGGUUGUACCGGUACAACCAUCGCAGCCAGGCUGCGCAGCUCUCGGGUUCGAAGGCUUCAGGCGCUGUACCGGUACAAGGCUGGCUUGUACCGGUACAAGNGACAGGGGAAACUCCGUCCGUUCGGCGGUCGCGCCGCCGCCCUCGAACCGGACCAAAUUGGUACCGUUUUCGGGUGGUGCGGUUUGGGGCGUGACAUCUACCGUUAAUUGCGGAGGAUGGACAGUUGCUAACGAAGCAUGAGCAUGUGUUAGAGAGGCGGAUGGUUAAGCAUGGUAAUCGUGCCAUCACGGAAGUGCUGGUGAAGUGGAGUAACCUCCCUGAGAGCUCGGCAACCUGGCGGGAUUACUGGGCCCUCAAGAAGCAAUUUCCGCACUUUGAUCCCUGAGGACAGGGAUCCGCUUGAAGAGGAAGGGAGUGUAAUACCUGUAAUAAAAAAAAAAGAAAAAAAGAAAAGGGGUAAGAACUCUGAAGAAGGAGGUUACUAUUUGAUAGGAGUAUUGAUAGGAGAAUACUUAGCUUUCUUCGUCGCUACUGGGUUCAGCUCCGAUUAUGAACUGGGUAACACUUCUCUCGAACUCCAAAGGAAAAGGGAGAGAGCUUCAGUAG
rnacentral:lncRNA from 1 species